rnacentral:rRNA from 1 species
CGGUUGAUCCUGCCGGACCCUAUUGCUAUCGGGGUAAGACUAAGCCAUGCUAGUCGAGCGCCUCUAGGGGUUUGAGGACGCGGCGACCAGCUCACUAACACGUAGUUAACCUACCCUUGGGGUGGAGAUCCUCCCGGGAACCCGGGAUGGAUCUCCACUAAAUGAUAGGUCCUGGAAUGGUCUAUCAUUGAAACGAUUGUUGGAAACACGCUUCCAGCGAUGCCCAAGGACGGGACUGCGUCCGAUCAGGUUGUUGGUGGGGUAACGGCCCACCAAACCUAUAACCGGUACGGGCCCUGAGAGGGGGAGCCCGGAGAUGGAAACUGAGACAAGGUUCCAGGUCCUAUGGGGCGCAGCAGGCGCGAAACCUCCACAGUGCGCGAAAGCGUGAUGGGGUUACCCCGAGUGCCUUCCUAAGAGGAGGGCUUUUCUUCGGGGUACACACCCGAGGGAAUAAGGGGGGGGCAAGACUGGUGUCAGCCGCCGCGGUAAUACCAGCCCCCCGAGUGGUAGGGAUGAUUAUUUGGCCUAAAGCGUUCGUAGCCGGCUCGGCAAGUCCUUCGUGAAAUCCGACGGCUCAACCGUCGGGGUGCGAGGGAUACUGCCGAGCUUGAGGACGGGAGAGGUCGACGGUAUUCCAAGGGUAGGGGUGAAAUCCUAUAAUCCUUGGAGGACCACCAGUGGCGAAGGCUGUCGACUAGUACGUGCCUGACGGUGAUGGACGAAAGCUGGGGGAGCGAACCGGAUUAGAUACCCGGGUAGUCCCAGCCGUAAACGAUGCGGGCUAGGUGUUGGGACAGCCACGAGCUGUUCCAGUGCCGCAGAGAAGUUGUUAAGCCCGCCGCCUGGGGAGUACGGUCGCAAGACUGAAACUUAAAGGAAUUGGCGGGGGAGCAC